GCUGGAGACUUGCAUCAGACUCAGCCUGUGCAUCCCCACCUAAAGGCAACAUUCAGACCCAAUGCUGCUCUCACAUAAGCUUGAGAGGUAAAAGAAGAGGUGUACACCUCACAUACAGAGUGCUGCCUGAGAAAAUUAUCAGUGCAUUUUUAUGUGAAGGCUGGUCCAGACUGUAACAGAAAUGCUAAGCCUUGCCCUGGAACAGUGAUUGAACACCUGAUGGAAGGCAGGGCCAACCCAGGGGAGCUCAGGUGCAUGCAGUGCACCUGAGUGACUGGAAGGGAUGAAGCCAGGAUCCAUCCCUUCCUAGACCUCAUUUAAGGGUUGGCAGUGGAUGCAAAAGUAUCUCUUUGAAUACCCCUGUCUAGUGGAGACCUUCUGAAGAUUUCCUGUGUAGGCCUGUCCCCAGGGACUGACAACCUGGUGUAGACAACUCAUAAAUAAAACGAGUGAGACAUGAGCAAGAAAAAGCAUAGCAUACUUCUGGGAAUCACUCCAGGAAAAUAAAUGUGCGAGAUGGCACAUCACCCUACACAAAGCUGGCAAAGGAAAACAAACCUGCCAGUGACUGUUGCAGCUUAUUUAACUGAAGUGGAUGAUGAAGCCUGGAUUUGAUCCGUAGUUUUCAGAAGCAUUUGGAAGCUCCAUCUCCCUGAGUAAAUAAGAGCACUACAACUAUUGUCUACGCUGCGGCAGAACAAAAAGUCCUUUGGCCAGAUGUGAACAUGCUAUAUUCUGCAUCUCCUCUCCCCAAGCCCUAUCCUCCAGAUACAAUAUGGCAGCAUGGACUGCCAGCAGAUUGCUGAAAAUACAGCUCUUCAAAUAUAAGCGUAAGUAAUGGUAAUACAACAGCAGUAACAACAGGCUUCCGAACUCAGCUGGAGAUGAAGGCUGCUUCCUCCUCACCAGCAACAUUCUGCUGAUCGUGUGC